CCUACGGGCGACAGCAGUGGGGAAUAUUGGGCAAUGGAGGAAACUCUGACCCAGCAAUGCCGCGUGAAUGAAGAAGGUCUUCGGAUUGUAAAGUUCUUUAGUCAGGGAAGAAGUCAAUGACGGUACCUGAAGAAUAAGCUUCGGCUACAUACGUGCCAGCAGCCGCGGGAAUACGUAGGGAGCAAGCGUUGUUCGGAAUGACUGGGUGUAAAGGGUGCGUAGGCGGUUGUACAAGUUAGAAGUGAAAUACCCAGGGCUUAACUCGGGUGCUGCUUCUAAAACUGUAUGACUUGAGUACAGUAGAGGUUAGUGGAAUUCCUGGUGUAGCGGUGGAAUGCGUAGAUAUUAGGAGGAACACCAGAGGCGAAGGCGGCUAACUGGACUGCAACUGACGCUGAGGCACGAAAGUGUGGGGAGCAAACAGGAUUAGAUACCCUUGUAGUC
rnacentral:rRNA from 1 species